UACGGGGGGGUGCGAGCGUUGUCCGGAAUCACUGGGCGUAAAGAGCUCGUAGGCGGCUCGUUGCGUCGGCUGUGAAAACCCGCAGCUCAACUGUGGGCCUGCAGCCGAUACGGGGCGGGCUAGGAUUCGGUAGGGGGAGACUGGAAUUCCUGGUGUAGCGGUGAAAUGCGCAGAUAUCAGGAGGAACACCGGUGGCGAAGGCGG
rnacentral:rRNA from 1 species